GGAACUUCUCCUCCGUCCGCCAUUGCAAUUGGUUCAAUAAUGGGUGGAUUUUGUUGUAGGGGUGGUGUUUCGGGAAUUUCUUGGCGAGGGUCGGGACUAGAAUCGGGUUCUAUAUCACUUAAUGAAGCGGUUUCAACCUCCGGGUCCCCGUGGGGGUUAGAAGUUUGACCACGUUCAACUCGUUUUUCCUUAGCCAAACGCCUUGCUUCUUUUUCGAUUUCGGGGUUGUAAAUCAAGUCACCUGUACGCUGAGAUCUGGGCAUAGAGAAACAAAUUGAUUAAAAAUAAACCAAUCCCCGGCAACGGCGCCAAAAAUUUGGUGGUUGUCGAGGCCAACACAAAUAAUAACCCUAAAUAUUACACACUAAAAUAGUGUAUAGUGGUAAAGGGAUCGAAUCCACGGAGAUUGGUUCAAUUUAUAACUCUAUGAAAAAUCUCUUUGUAAAAAUACUUGUAAAAUGACAAUAAAAAUAAAAUGGGGGGUUUUGGUGUUUUGAAAUACUUGAAACAAACUAGAAUUAACUAUGAUUUAAAUAGACAAAUGCAACAAAAAUAAGAGUUUGAUGUAAAAUCAAUAAGGGAGAGAUGGUUGACUUAAAGUUUCCUCACUUUGACUUUUGAUGAACAUAUCAUUAGAAUCCAAUGGUGCAAUACUUUGAUUUAAAUCCUUAAUUUGGCUAUAGUAAUCCAAGGAGCUUGAGAUUACCUAGACUUUUCUUAAUUGUUGAAAUGGCUAGAGAAGCUCAUAACAAUUUCCUUAGUCAAAGUCACUAAUUCCAAAUAGCAUGUAAUUAGUGAAAGUCAACUAGCAUUAAGAACCAAAAAGUCACCAAAUCCAAGAGGGGUCAAAUGCUUUCACCACCAUGUUGGAGGAAAUGUUUUUAUGAUUGUGUGAAGCAAAAACAACACAAAAAUCAUUUGUUGUUUGCUAAUUUGAGGAUCAUUUACGUAAUCAAGAAAUUAGCCAACUAAUCACCACAAACAUAUUUAAACUCAUGAAUAAAAACAUACUAGUAGUGAUAAUAUGAUGAAACACAAAACAUUUCCAUAAAGAUUUAAGAACAAGUUCAUGGAUUCUUCAACAUCCAACAAAAGUUCAAAGGAUUCAACAAAAAGUCAACCAAGAUUUGUUUAGCCAAGCAUGGCUAAACUCAAAGAAACAAAGUUAGAGGAAAUUGUACCAAACAUUUUACAAUAAUCAAGAGGUGAAAUCAAGAUGUUCUUGAGGUGUUCUUGGCCUUCAAAAGCACUCCAAACUCCAGAGAGAAAGUAUAAAAAUCGGACCUCCAAGAUAAGGCUGAAGAGGCACACCAACCUUCCCAAUAUAGAGCUUUAAGUAAAAUCCCGAAAAUGCCCUUGUCAGGAAUCCACACAGGUUGCGGGUAAUCUUACACGGGCCGCGGGCUUCGACGAGAUUUUUGGGCUUCUUCAAGUCUUGGGCCCCUACAGCUAAUCCAUUGGCCCAGUUCGAAUCCAAUCAGCUCCUAGCCCAUUUUUCUUCAAUAUUUCUUCAAUUAAAGCCCAAUUUGUCUAUCCACAUCACUCAAAACUUCCGCAAACUCCCAAAUAUUGAUCUUGCACACUCAAGAAUUCUCCCGCGUCUUUCAAAUUUAAAGCUCAAUUCUUCCAAGCCUUCAAGCAAUUGACAAGUCCACCCCAUGAAUCACCUUCAUAGCCAUCAAGCACGAAAUCCCCAAUUCCCUUCAAGCCCAAUCGCCUCCCAAGAGUGCCGCUCCGCUAGUUUCCAAGAAAAUCUGCAAUAAUGCUCAAGAAACUAGAAAGUACCCCGAAAUGGUCAUAAAAAUAACAAAAGGGAAAAUAUGCAUGAAAAUUAACUAAAAUGCGAAUGAAAUGUGCUAAAAUAAACUAUAAAAAGAAGUAAAUAAAAUGAAGCUAUCAAAUCACCCCAAGCUUAAACCUUACUUGUCCUCAAGUAAGACAAGACUAAAAUGAACUUGGGAUGAACUACCCUAGAAAUAAAAAUAAUGGAUAGAACCAUGGAACCUGUUCGACGUUAGUUAACAUGGUCAGAAUUGAUCUCGUUGCUAUCUAACAACUUUUUCAUCCAAUAACAAUGGAACCAUAAACCACAGCCAGGACAACUCCUUUAGGUGAGUAAGGAGGGAUGAGUAGUCGCAGCCUCAAUGGAACAUGCAUACAAUGAAGAACAUCUAUAGUAGGGAGAAAGCAACUGGAUGGGCUCGGGUGGAGCUCUUCUUUAAGUGCACACUUUGAUCUCACGUCUGUCGGUUUCUCUCAUGUGUAACUAGGUUUAAUCGCUCGGGCACCGUUGUAGGAAUCAAUUCACUUAGUGUGGGCCCAAACCUUCCGUAGUAUAUAUCCGACUUGACAGUCUCCCUAAUAUCACCAAUUUGUGAGAGAAAAAAAACAACUCGAUCUAUAUACAAUAAAACAAACCUAUACAAAUGAAUAUCAAACACCGGGUGACCAAGAUGUUGGGAAAUUUGUUCAAUAAUUGAACCGACCACCUAUCUAAGAUAGUUGCAACUGAAAAUUUGAAUGCUUCUUUUUGCUUUGUUUUUUUUAAAAUUUUUAUUUUAUUUUAUUUUUAUAUCUUUGUUUUUAAUUUUUUGACUUUUUUUAAACACAUGAAGGUAAUGAAUUAACUAUCGAAAUUUUUAACAAGAAAACCCUUUGACUCAAAAUUUGGUUCCCAAAGGUGUGUAAGUGGAACCGAAAGGGUAAUGAUAUAAUCCGAAUGGCCUAAGUGUAAAAAUGACCAUGUGUGGAGCAUAAAUAUGUAAUGUAAGCUCCUUUUCAAACUUGUGGUUUUUCAAAGAUAAUGAAAAUGUCCAAAUGUGGACUAAAAGACUCUAAAAUUCUAAGAAAAUCGCAAAAAGAUAUGGUGAUGUAAAGAGACCGGAUAUGGAUUCUACUCGGGGACAAGCACCAAUGCUUCAUCCUAACAGUUCAAACAUGAUCAAGUGUGAUCCUCUCAACGGUAGUGACCGCAAGGCUAAGAACAUCCAUUGCUAUAGUAUAUCCUACAGUUGUUAGUAUUGUAUGCAUAAUUUUUCAUGAAACUACCUGGCCAUGAUCACUUACCCCUUUAAGCUACCAUCAUUUGAUCCCAAGUAUGAAAUCCCAAACUGCAGCUAGUGGUCCCGGUUCGAUGGGUGAGGUAGCAACAAGAUCCUGGACCAAUAAUGAUACAAUAACUGUGAACCUAUUCCAUGGCAUCCAAGAGAGGUGAGAAUAAACAGACAAAAAAAGUGCAAGAAUGUUAAUGCCUUAAGCUAAAUGUUAUGCAAAAAUAUAAAAGGUGAAAAAGAAGAAAAUAAAAUCUUUUUGGAAUUUUAAAUAAAUAAAAAAAUGAAUGAAAAUUAGCUUAAUACUAAACUGUUAUGCAACCUAGUUAAAAAUGAAUGAAAAAAAUAAAAGAUAAGGGAUAUGCCCCACCCCAAGCUUAAGAACAAGCAUUGUCCUCAAUGCUUAAGGAAAGGGCGGAAAGGACCUAAAUCGAAGGGUCGGGCGGCGGGAAAUGCCCGUGGCGAUAAUGGUAGUCCCAUAUAUCUUGGACCUGGCGGGAAAUGGGAGGGAAGGAUUGCUCCAAUCGAUCAACGCGACUCGCCACAUCUUGGAUGGCUCUCGUAUUCUCUUGCAUUUGGGUAUCGAUGCGCUGCACCGUGGAGAACAUUGUGGCGAAUUGGUCAAAGAACGUAGGGGGGAAAUAUGGUGGGACUUCGUGUCCCCCCUGCUGCUGCGGCUGAAACUGAGGCUCGGCGAAUUGUUGUGCAGGCUGAAACUGGGGCUCGGCGAAUUGUUGUGCAGGCUGAAACUGGGGCUCGGCGAAUUGUUGUGCAGGCUAAAACUGGUCAUUCUCAUCAUCUAUAGGAGGAGGGUAGUUUGAUGGAAUGAUCCAUUGCUCGGGAUCGGUCGGCUCAAAACUCCCUAUAUACUCAUGGGGGAGAAUGAGGUAUGGUUGCUUGUCAAGGAUCCACAUGGGACCGACGACCGAAUCCCGGAUGAGUUGCAUUCGGCGAAGUGCGUUGCCGUCAAGGCUAGAGGGGCCGGAAGCCUUCUCGAAUGGAAGAGUAGAGAGAUGAAGUUGAAGCGGUGACCGAGAUGCAAUGAGGGUGAUCAAUCCCCCAAUGAAAAUAUCUCCUUUGUCCAUAGUUGUGAGGUUGUAACACUUAGUGAAGAAAAAGGAGGCAAAAUCCGGCCGCGGACCAUUCUCACGAGUCAUGCACCAAAGAAAAAAUAAUUCCGGCUUUCAAAUUUGUCCCACUUCGGAGCGGGCGAAAAUGGUGCAUGUGAGAACUAUAUGUGCUAGGCGCAAACAUGGGUGGAUGAUGGAGGAGGCCUUUGAUGAAGACAAUGAAUAUUGUGGCUCGUUGGAAAUUUGCUGCCAAAAGUAAUGCUCAUUGAAGCUUCCGGGCCAUGGAUCUUGUUGGUAAUAUAGGUUGUCCACUGGAGUGCCCAUCAGGGCAUUCACGAACCGAUGCGGUAGCGAUCGUUUCUCACCGAGCAUUUGGAAGGUGACGGUUUGGGCUUCCUCCUCGGGAUUGAAUGUGGCAAGAAAUUCCAAGGUGGGUUCAACAUAGGUGGCGGCGCGGUUAUAGAGGAAUUGACCCCACCCGAUGUUGUUAAAUAACGCUUGGACUCCAUCGAGCACCCCAAGACUAGCAAAAGAUUCCCUAUGGAGGAAUUUUGUUGACUUGACUUGACGCUUAUUUGAAACGAGAAAAUCAUAAGUUUUACGAUCCUCGCGAUUUAACAAACGAAACGGGGGAUCCUUGGAUUUUCCCUUCGACCCUCCUUUAGAGGAAGUUGCUCCCGUCCCCGUUUUUGCACGCUUUGAAAUUUAAUCGGGACAAAAUUUUACCCAUAAUAAUUUUCAACCACAACAAAGGCACACAAUACCAACAAAAAAUGGGAAAUUAGGAUGUAAACAAUCAAGUUAAAGGAAUGAGAUGACCCAAUUUCUUAGACCCGGGAUGAACUAGUGCCACCAAAAAGAUUUCGUCAAGACAUACCCCAAGCUUACAAUUUUGCUCCGUAUUUGACGCUUUAAUCGCUAAAACAACCCCAUAAACUAGCUUCAAGAUGACUUUCCGGCGAAUGGAGUGGCGGCACCCGGAAUUAGACGAAAAUUUUUCGUGAGUUUUUUGCGUGAAGAUUGGUAUGGCUAGAAAGCUCUUGAUGAGAGAAACAAAAACCCAUGCUCGGAAUCUCCAAUGGUGGCCAGAGUUGGCCGGAAAACGCGAAAGAAGGUGGUGGUGGGUGGUAGUGGCGCCCGGAAUUCCGGCCACAGAUCGGACCGGAAUUUGGGUGGGGUUUCUAGAGGAUGAAAAAUGGAGAAGAAGGGCAGUGGUUUCGUGAGAUUCCGACCGGUAGAACUCUGGGAAAAUGGAUUUUUGUGAGAAGUGGGUUUAGUGUUCUUGAGUUUCUAGAGAGAGAAUGGAGGAAUUUGUUAGAUUAGAAUGAAGAAGAAGGGUGCUGGAGGUGUUCAAUCUUUGGUCAAGGAAGGUCAAACCCGGUUAAUGUUUGGUCAACUCAUUAAAUCUCUUGGUCAACGAAAGUCAAGGCAGUCAACAGCUCAAAACAUCAGUCAAACGACCAACACGCGGGCUGGGCGCGGGCCGCGUGCUGGCCGCGUCUAGCAUCCUCGAACAUAGCAGAUCCAACAGCUAAAAAAAAUGACUUCUGCGCGGGUUGCACGCGGGCCGUGGGUUGGCCGCGGGAAUUGGUUUGCUCAAAAAAUUCCUAAGUGCUUCGAAAAUCCACGCGGGUCAGGCGCGGGCCGCUGGUACUGAAUUGAAUUUGUGCUUCGGCCCACACGGGCUGGACUCGGGCCGCGUCUACUUGCUAGAAAACCUUCUGAACCUUCUGACCUUUAACGUGGGCUGGGCUCGGGCCGUGGGCUGUGCUGCACAUCAAAAAUGAAAUUUUUCCAAAAAAAACUGAUUUUUAAGCCAAAACGAUCCCCGUAAGGCCCGGUAUCAAAAUUUUGAAAAAAUUUGGAGUAAAAUGGGGAUCGAUUGGUGAAACCUUUCAAAAAUUUAUUUUGAAUCCGAAAAAAAAACGCUUUGAAAAAUGAUUUAUUUGAAUUUGAAAAAAUGGUGAAAGCACAUUGCUUUCCAAAAAUGUCAUUCUUUAACGUCUUUGGCGAGACGUCUUCCGAGCUUUCUUCAACAUAUUGGGACAUCCAAAUGGAUGAUUUCAAGGGCAUUAGCACUGAAGCCUUCAUAGAAUGGCUUCAACCGGUGCCCAUUGACUUUGAAAAUUUGUCCCGUCUUUUCGCUUUGAAUUUCCACCGCCCCGUGGUCAAAGGUCUUAAUCACAACAAAAGGUCCAAUCCAUCUUGACCUUAGCUUGCCUGGAAAUAACUUCAAUCGUGAAUGAUAUAGUAAGACCCUAUGACCCGGUUCAAAAUGCUUCCGGGUGAUGGACUUGUUGUGGAAGAGCUUCGUUUUCUCCUUGUAAAUCCUUGCAUUUUCAUAGGAGUCAUUUCUCAAUUCUUCUAGCUCUUGGAGUUGAAGUUUCCUAUGCCUUCCCGCCUCGUCAAUGUUGAAAUUGCAUUGCUUGACCGCCCAAAAUACGCGGUGCUCUAAUUCGACGGGAAGAUGACAUAGUUUUCCAAAAACCAAUCUGAAGGGCGACAUCCCUAUUGGGGUCUUAUAAGCGAUCCGAUAGGCCCAUAAGGCAUCGUCUAGUCUCAAACUCCAAUCCUUCCUUGUCGGAUUCACCGUUUUCUCUAGAAUAGACUUCACUUCACGAUUCGAGACCUCCGCUUGACCAUUCGUUUGAGGGUGGUAGGCGGUAGAGACACGAUGGGUCACGUUGUACUUUUUCAAUAAAGCUUCCAUCAUUUUGUUGCAAAAGUGCGUCCCUCUAUCACUAAUCAAAGCCCUAGGCACACCAAAUCUCACAAACACAUUAGAUUUUAAAAACUCGAUAACCGUUUUGGCAUCAUCCGAUCUUGUGGCUUUGGCCUCAACCCACUUAGAAACAUAGUCAACCGCGAGCAAGAUGUAAACGUUGCCAAACGAAACAGGAAAUGGGCCCAUGAAAUCAAUCCCCCAUACGUCAAAAAUUUCACAAACAGGGAUUGGAUUUUGGGGCAUUUGGUUCUUUUGCGAAAUGUUUCCCGUCAUUUGACACCGUUCAUAACUUUUGCAAAACAAGUAACAGUCGCGUGACAUGGUUGGCCAAAAUAGUCCACAUUCAAGAACUUUUCUCAAGGUUCGGCUAGGUCUGAAGUGUCCCCCACAAGCAAAUUCAUGACAUAAUUGCAAAAUAGAUUGAUGCUCUUGUUGGGGUACACAUCGCCUAAUGAUUUGAUCGGGACAAUGUUUCCACAAAUAAGGCUCAUCCCACACAUAGUAUUUUGCAUCACUUUUGAGCUUGUCUUUUUGAGGACGUGUGAAUGUGUCGGGAUACCUUUUUGUGACGAAAAAGUUAACGAUAUCGGCAUACCAAGGAAUAGAUUGAGUAAGGGAAAAGAGAUGCUCAUCCGGAAACUCGUCCCGCAACGAGAUAGGAGUUUCAUUUGAAGUGAUCUGGCUUAGAAGUCUAUCCUAAGAAGUCUGCAUCUGAGUAAGCCUAAGUCUACUUCAUAGGAGUCUAUCCUAAGAAGUCUGCAUCUUAGCUGCAUCUCAGCAAGCUCUACUAGCUUCAACUUGGUUCUCUGUCAUUCCUGACUACAACAUCUCUUCUCAUACGAUACUAUGGGUGUAUUUCUUCUUCAAUUAAGCAUUCUACCUUACUUAAACAAGUAAGUUGCUUAACCAUUUACCAUUAAAUGACUCAAUUCACCAUCCCAAUAUUCUAUGUUAAAUUCGGCUUAACACACAAUGGAACUUCUAUAAGGAUGGGAUAGAAGUCAAUCAUCACUUAGUAUUAUUAAAUACUAAGUCUGAACAUCUUUUAUAGGGUUACUACUCGAAUUACAUACUACAUCACAAAGUCUUGGCCUAUUGAGUCUGAAAACCUUCAUUAGCCAUUCCUUUGAUCUUCAUUUAAUUCUUCUAAUCUUGUACCACUUCAAUUGAGAUACUAUCACUACAAGAAAAAAGGCCUUUUACGACGCUCAUUGCGCGUNNNNNNNNNNNNNNNNNNNNNNNNNNNNNNNNNNNNNNNNNNNNNNNNNNNNNNNNNNNNNNNNNNNNNNNNNNNNNNNNNNNNNNNNNNNNNNNNNNNNACACGGGAAAAUAACCUGGAAUAAUAACACUGAAAAGCACAUAGCCUGUAUAACACAUAACAUACAAUUGUUCCUAUAUAUUAAACUCACCUUAAAAUAAUCGGGGGUUAAAAUAGUAAUUUGAGCAGCAUGUCGGCUCCAAAUAUGGCUUUAUUCGUCGAAAACCGGGAGAAUUUGCUAAAAACCGGACUCUAAAAGGUAGAGCUUCAAAACCGAAAAGAUAAAUUUUUCGGGCUUCACGGCAUUUCGGGGCGUGUUUCGGGUGUUAAAAUUGACACCGGGGAUUCGGGGGAUGUCAAAAUUGUCAAAAUAUGGAAAAAUGGGCCAAAAAUGGCAAUUUUCUAAAAUUCAUCGGCAAGGCUCGCAGGCCUUGUAUUUAUAGGGAGGAGAUGCGAGGGUUCGCUGAUCAGAAGGAGGAGUCAGCGAGACAGAUGGCAGCUCGCGAGAGGACCAGAUGGCGCGCAUGCGAGGGCUCCAGGUGGCUCGCUUCGCAGGUCAACACGGGAAGGGCAGGUGGUGGUCUCGGAUUGGCCGAGCCUUCGGUGCGAGGGGGUUGCGACGCGCAUUGCCAGCUGCUCGGAUGACUAAGCUGCUUCGGACACAAGGCGGACACGGGGCGAGAUCCGGACGAGGGUGACUCACGACGUCGAAAACGAGGCGGACAUGACAUCGGACCAAUCAGAAGGUGCCAGCGAGGCUGCGGUCCAAUCAGAAACUGCCAAGUGGAUUAACACUAUUCAUGCGAAAAUUAAAUAAAAAAUGUGCCAAAUCUUGUAAAAUCCAUAACUUUUGCAUACGAGCUCCGUUUUUGACGUUCUUUAUAUGCACGCAUAGCUAAAAUUAUGCUCUACAACUUUCGUUUAGACUUCGUCGGCUAAUUUUGACUUUAACUUUUAUAUUAUUAUUUUUAACAGACCGGGACAGGAUAAUCCGUUAAAAAUUCAUAACUUCUUCAUCCGACAUCCGUUUUCGUCAGACUUUUUCCCGUUGUACUAAAAAUGACGAGACCUUCAAUUCUUGUUUAGGUUGUGUCGGCUAAAAAUCACUCGAUCUAAAAUUAAAGUUUUUUAGCUGUCUACCGCUAAACUGAAACUUCGAAAAAUCAUAACCUCCUCAUACGAAGUCAGAUUUUGGUGUUCUUUUUAUCGAACUUCUCAGUUUAACGAAUACUACANAUUACUAAGGCUAAAAAGUAGUUUAUCAAAAACUCACUUUUUACGUCAUUCGGCACCGUGCCGGUUUUGUCGCGAAUCUUCGAUUGGUCAUAACUUCUUCGUUAUAACUCGGAUUUUGACGAGGUUUUCGCCUACGUGUUUCUAACGAGAUUAUAUACAACUUUAAAUAAUAAAAUUUUACUUAUUUCAAGUUUUAUAUUUUCGCUAAAUNNNNNNNNNNNNNNNNNNNNNNNNNNNNNNNNNNNNNNNNNNNNNNNNNNNNNNNNNNNNNNNNNNNNNNNNNNNNNNNNNNNNNNNNNNNNNNNNNNNNGUUGGAAAGUGGCCGGGGCGUUACACAAUCCAAAUGGCAUUCUCCAGUAUGCAAAAGUACCAAAUGGACAUGUAAGUGUCGUCUUUUCUUGGUCUUCCGGCGCCACCGGGAUUUGGUGAAAAUCGGAAUACCCGUCUAGACAACAAUAAUGGGAUUUCCCUGCCAACCUUUCUAACAUUUGGUCGAUGAAAGGCAAUGGAAAAUGAUCUUUUUGUGUGCUUGCAUUGAGUUUGCAGUAGUCAAUACAUACUCUCCACCCGUUUUGCACACGGGUGGGGACCAUCAUACCUUUGUUGUUAUCGACCACCGUGAUUCCCGUCUUCUUUCGAACGACUUGCACCUGGCUCACCCACUUGCUAUCUGAGAUUGGAUAGAUCAUCCCCGCAUCUAGGAGCUUCAAAAUCUCCUUCUUGACCACUUCCAUCAUUGGCGGAUUCAACCUUCUUUGUGCGUCCCGUCUCGACUUGCAUUCAUCCUCCAUUAAGAUCUUGUGCAUACAAGUGGAGGGGCUCAAUCCCUUGAUAUCCGUAAUUGUCCAUCCCAUGGCUUCUUUAUGCUCCUUCAACACCUUGACGAGUUUCUUCAAAUUCGGGUAAGUGAGUUGAAAUGAUAACUGGAAGGGUUUCAUUCUUUCCCAAAUAGGCAUACUUCAAGUGUUGAGGUAAGACCUUCAAUUCCAAUUCAGGUGGUUGAACAAGGGAUGGGGGCAAUUUUGUAUGAGUUGGGGGCAAUUCAACUUGCUUGACAUCUAAUCUUGUGGAUUUCUUCAUCUCCAUUUUAUUUACCAGCUUCUCAACUUCCGAAUCCAAAGAAUAAAGCUUUAAUUGCUUGACUAACUUCCCACAACCGAAUCCUUUGCUUAAGAUCAUCUCCAACAUAUCACCGUUAGAUAACUCGAACAAUUCUUGAGUAAUUGGCUCAACAACAUCAACAAAGUACAAAGAUGAAACAUCACUAGGAUAUCUCAUGGCAUCAUAAAUAUUAAAACUUAUUGUUUCACCAUCAAACUCCAUUGUCAAACUUCCCGCAUACACAUCGAUCUUCGUCCUAGCCGUCUUCAAAAAUGGUCUCCCAAGCAAGAUUAGAGCCGAUUUGGAGGACACUUGCUCAUCUAGAUCAAUCACAUAGAAAUCCACCGGGAAGACCAAUUGGUUCACUUGCACUAGGACAUCUUCCAAAACACCUCUAGGAAAGACACUUGAUUUAUCCGCAAGAGAGAUUAUGACACCGGUUUCACUUAAGGGUCCGACAUUCAAUGAUUCAUACACCGAAUAGGGCAUGACAUUGAUAGAGGCACCAAGAUCAAGCAUAGCACUACUAAAAGUGACAUCUCCAAUCUUGCAAGGAACCGUGAACAUCCCGGGAUCUUUGCAUUUGGGUGGAAGUUUCCUUUGUAAAACCGCGGAUGCGUUUUCAUUCAUCAAAAUUUUCUCAUUUCCCUUCAACUUCCUCUUGUUGGUGCAAAGUUCUUUCAAGAACUUUGCAUAUCUCGGGAUUUGCUUGAUUGCAUCAAGUAGAGGGAUGUUUACUUCCACCUUUCGGAAGGUGUCCAAAAUCUCUUUCUCCUCCAUAUUCUUCUUUGAAGUUGCAAGUCGGGAGGGGAACGGUGGUUGAGUGGCUAUUGGUGUUACUAGAGGGGUAGUCUUCUUUGGGGCUCCGACUUGUGCAUCGUUCUUGACUAUAGGUUCUUCAAUGGGAAUGAUCUCUAUUUCUUCCUCUUCUUCCCUUGGCUUCUUCUUUGAACUACUUUCUCCGGCUUGUUUGCCACUUCUCAAGGUCACCACAUUGACAUUUGGGUUCUUUUCGGUUUGAGAAGGGAGUUUACCACGGGAUUCCAACUUGCUUAUAGAUGUAACUAUAUCUCCCAUUUGUGCUUCAAGGUUGGAGAUACUAGUCCUUGUCUCUUUUUGGAAUUGUUGGGUACUAGUGGCUAGAGAUUUGACAAUGUCUUCAAGAGACAUUCCGGAGCUACUUGGUUGAGAUUGAGGAGGUUGUUGAUGAUGAUGUGGAGGGUGUGGUUUGGGUUGAUAGUGUGGUUGUUGAUGUUGGUAUUGAGGUUGUGGUGGUGGAUAGGACGGUCUAACCAAUGCAUUUUGAGGCAAUGGUCUUGAGUUGUAGCUCAUGUUGGGAUUUGGCUUCCAACUCGAAUUAUAUGCAUUUUGGUAACCGGAUGGUUUGUUGUGGUAGUUUUGGAACUCUCCCGUGGCAUUCACAUGCUCCGCAUCUUCUUGAAGGAUGGGACACAUAUCCGUAGGAUGUCCCAUUGUUGCACAUAUUCCACAAACCAUCACUUGUGGAGUUUGUCCCAUGGCUAGCUUUUGGACAACGGAGGUUAGAUCUUUGAUUUGAGACUCAAGAUUUGAUGUUCCCACUUCAUUGACUUUGUGUUGUGUGUCUCUCUUCAUAUCUUGGCGAGGGCCAAAAUGUUGUGAAUUCGCGGCUAUGGUGUUGAAAAGUUGUCUUGUUUGUUGUGGGGUUUUACUAAAGACAUCUCCACCACUUGAGGCAUCAAAUAGUCUUCUCUCCAUUGGCAACAAUCCCUCUUAGAAGUGUUGAAUGAGGAGUUGUUCCGGAAUUUGGUGUUGUGGGCAACUAUAGCACAAAUUGUUGAACCUCUCCCAAUAAUCAUGAAAAGUCUCAUUUUGACCUUAGUGGAUUCCACAAAUCUCAUUUCUAAUACUUGAGACUCUUGAGGCGGGAUAGAAUUUAUCAAGGAAAGCUCUUGCCAUGUCGGUCCAUGAGUUGAUCGACCCCGGUAGAAGAUAAAAUAACCAAUCUUUUGCUCUAUCGGCCAAUGAAAAGGGGAAUGCCCUUAGCUUGAUUUGGUCAUCGGUUGAACCUUGUGGCUACAUGCUAGUGCAAAUAAUGUGGAACAUCUUCAAAUGCUUAUGAGGUUCUUCAUUCUCCAAUCCAUGAAAAGUUGGUAGGUGAUGGACUAAACUGGACUUCAACUCCGAGCCUCCUUCCAAAACCAGGUAAUUGAUACCGAUUAGAGUUUGUGUAACAUCGGUCUCCAUCAUUUGCCUCAAAGUUCUUUUGGGAACUUCUCCUCCGUCCGCCAUUGCAAUUAGUUCAAUAAUGGGUGGAUUUUGUUGUAAGGGUGGUGUUUCGAGAAUUUCUUGGCGAGGGUCGGGACUAGAAUCGGGUUCUAUAUCACUUAAUGAAGCGGUUUCAACCUCUGGGUCCCCGUGGGGGUUAGAAGUUUGACCACGUUCAACUCAUUUUUCCUUAGCCAAACACCUUGCUUCUUUUUCGAUUUCUGGGUUGUAAAUCAAGUCACCUGUACGCUGAGAUCUGGGCAUAGAGAAACAAAUUGAUUAAAAAUAAACCAAUCCCCGGCAACGACGCCAAAAAUUUGGUGGUUGUCGAGGCCAACACAAAUAAUAACCCUAAAUAUUACACACUAAAAUAGUGUAUAGUGGUAAAGGGAUCGAAUCCACGGAGAUUGGUUCAAUUUAUA
rnacentral:lncRNA from 1 species